GGUGAAACUAGAGGGAAGUAGGAAUGCUCGAAUCUGAUUGGAGGGAAUGUAAAACCGUGAAGGAAUGGGGAAAAUAGUAUGGCCUGUCCUGGAAAAAGUAGAAACAGAAUGAUCAGAUGUUCCCGCAGUUGCACUUGUGGGUACCCACCAAAAAGAAUUAGAAGCCAGGAGUGGAAGAGAGAUUUGUACACCCAUAUUCAUAGCAGCGUUACUCAAAACAGCCAAAAUGGGGAAGCAACCCAAGGGUUCGUGGGCAGAUGAAUGAAAAAGCACAGUGCAGUUCAUUCAUACAACGGAAGACUAUUCAGCCAUAAAAAUGCAGGCACUUCUGGCCGGUGCCGUGGCUCACGCCUGUAAUCUCAGCAUCUUGGAAGACCGAGGUGGGCGGAUCACCCGAGGUCAGGAAUUCGAGACCAGCCUGGCCAUCUUGGUGAAACCCUGUCUCUACUGAAUAUGCACAAAAUUAGACGAGCGUGGUGGCGCGUGCCUAUACUCCCAGCUACUCGGGAGGCUGAGCACAAGAAUCGCUGGAACCCGGGAGGCGGAGGUUGCAGUGAGCCCAGAUUGUGCCACUGCACUCCAGCCUGUGUGACAGAGUGAGACUCCAUGUAAACACAAAACAAAACAGAACCAAAAAAAUAAAUAAAUAAAUAAUAAAAAACCGAAAAAGCCAGGCAGGCACUUCUGACACAGGCUGCAACAUGGAUGAACCUUGAAGACAUUAUCGCCAGUGAAACAAAUAAAUCCCAAAAGGAUAAACACGACCAGCCUCCGUGGCUCGCACCUGUAAACCCAGCACUUUGAGAGGCCGAGGCAGGCGUAUCACUUCAGGUCAGCAGUUCGAGACCAGCCUGGCCAAUAUGGUGAAACCUCGUUUCUAUUAAAACUACAAAAAUUAGCUGGGCGUGGUGGCGCACGCCUGUAACCCCAGCUACACGGGAGACUGAGACACAAGAAUCGCUUGGACCCACGAUGUGGAGGUUGCAGUCAGCCGAGACCAUGCCGCUGCACUCCAGCCUGGGUGACAGAGAAAGACUGUCUCCAAAACAAAGAAACAAAGAAAAUUAAACACGGUAUGAUUCCCCUUCUAUCAAGUGUCUAGAGUAGUUAAACUCAUAGAGUUGCAAAAUAGAACGGUGGCCCCCAGGGGUGGGCGAGAGAGAGGAAUGGAGAGUUUGCUUAAUGGGUGCAAUUUCCAUUUGGAAAGCUAAAACCGUUCUGGAGAUGAUGGCGGUGAUGGUUGCAA
rnacentral:lncRNA from 10 species